rnacentral:rRNA from 1 species
GACGAACGCUGGCGGCGUGCUUAACACAUGCAAGUCGAACGGAAAGGCCCUGCUUGCAGGGUACUCGAGUGGCGAACGGGUGAGUAACACGUGGGUGAUCUGCCCUGCACUUCGGGAUAAGCCUGGGAAACUGGGUCUAAUACCGGAUAGGAGCCAUUUUUAGUGUGAUGGUUGGAAAGUUUUUUCGGUGUAGGAUGAGCUCGCGGCCUAUCAGCUUGUUGGUGGGGUAAUGGCCUACCAAGGCGGCGACGGGUAGCCGGCCUGUGAGGGUGGACGGCCACAUUGGGACUGAGGUACGGCCCAGACGCCUACGGGAGGCAGCAGUGGGGAAUAUUGCACAAUGGGCGCAAGCCUGAUGCAGCGACGCCGCGUGGGGGAUGACGGCCUUCGGGUUGUAAACUCCUUUCGCUAGGGACGAAGCUUUUUGUGACGGUACCUAGAGAAGAAGCACCGGCUAACUACGUG